rnacentral:rRNA from 1 species
RCGCGAAAACUUUGCAAUGCGGGAAACCGUGACAAGGGAACUCUGAGUGCCCGUAAAAUCGGGCUGUCCAUCAGUUUAAAUAACUGGUGAAGAAAGGGCCGGGCAAGACCGGUGCCRGCCGCCGCGGUAAUACCGGCGGCUCGAGUGGUGGCCACUAUUACUGGGCUUAAAGCGUUCGUAGCUGGUUUGUUAAGUCUCUGGGGAAAUCUUCCGGCUUAACCGGAAGGCGUCUCAGGGAUACUGGCAGACUAGGGACCGGAAGAGGUGAGAGGUACUCCAGGGGUAGGA